rnacentral:rRNA from 1 species
AUGAACGCUGGCGGCGUGCCUAAUACAUGCAAGUCGAGCGAACGGACGAGAAGCUUGCUUCUCUGAUGUUAGCGGCGGACGGGUGAGUAACACGUGGAUAACCUACCUAUAAGACUGGGAUAACUUCGGGAAACCGGAGCUAAUACCGGAUGAUAUUUUGAACCGCAUGGUUCAAAAGUGAAAGACGGUCUUGCUGUCACUUAUAGAUGGAUCCGCGCUGCAUUAGCUAGUUGGUAAGGUAACGGCUUACCAAGGCAACGAUGCAUAGCCGACCUGAGAGGGUGAUCGGCCACACUGGAACUGAGACACGGUCCAGACUCCUACGGGAGGCAGCAGUAGGGAAUCUUCCGCAAUGGGCGAAAGCCUGACGGAGCAACGCCGCAUGAGUGAUGAAGGUCUUCGGAUCGUAAAACUCUGUUAUUAGGGAAGAACAUAUGUGUAAGUAACUGUGCACAUCUUGACGGUACCUAAUCAGAAAGCCACGGCUAACUACGUG